rnacentral:rRNA from 1 species
UACGUAGGCAGCAAGCGUUGUUCGGAAUUACUGGGCGUAAAGAGUGUGUAGGCGGUGUUCUAAGUCUGGUGUGAAAUCUCCCGGCUCAACUGGGAGGGUGCGCUAGAAACUGGAAUGCUAGAGGAUGGGAGAGGUAAGCGGAAUUCCUGGUGUAGCGGUGAAAUGCGUAGAUAUCAGGAGGAACACCUGUGGUGUAGACAGCUUACUGGACACAUAUUGACGCUGAGGUGCGAAAGCGUGGGGAGCAAACCGG